rnacentral:rRNA from 1 species
UAGGGAAUCUUCCACAAUGGGCGCAAGCCUGAUGGAGCAACGCCGCGUGAGUGAAGAAGGUCUUCGGAUCGUAAAACUCUGUUGUUAGAGAAGAACAUGCAGGAGAGUAACUGUUCUUGUAUUGACGGUAUCCAACCAGAAAGCCACGGCUAACUACGUGCCAG